rnacentral:rRNA from 1 species
GAUGAACGCUGGCGGCGUGCCUAAUACAUGCAAGUCGAACGCUGGAAAUCUAGCUUGCUAGAUUGAAGGAGUGGCGAACGGGUGAGUAAUACAUAAGCAACCUACCCACGAAGACUGGGAUAAUCUCUGGAAACGGGGACUAAUACCGGAUAGGUAAUCGGAAGGCAUCUUCUGAUUAUUAAAGGUUAAAAACACUGGUGGAUGGGCUUAUGGCGCAUUAGUUAGUUGGUGAGGUAACGGCCCACCAAGACGAUGAUGCGUAGCCGGCCUGAGAGGGUGAACGGCCACAUGGGGACUGAGACACGGCCCAGACUCCUACGGGAGGCAGCAGUAGGGAAUUUUCGGCAAUGGGGGAAGCCCUGACCGAGCAACGCCGCGUGAGUGAUGACGGCCUUCGGGUUGUAAAGCUCUGUUGUAAGGGAAGAACGGUAGAUAGAGAAUAUCUAAAUGACGGUACCUUACCAGAAAGCCACGGCUAACUACGUG